AGCUAGGUCAAUAGCGUCUAUAUCCUUUUGAUAAACUCAAACUUCUACGAUUAAUCCCACUCGAAUUUAUUAAGGAAGAAACAUAUUAGUCUGAUAUUUUUGCUGUAUAUAUAUGCCUAUUUAGUACAGUCAAGUAAAGAAUUUAGCACAAAAAAUUUGAAGCAAGUUUUCCACAUCUCACACAGAACGUAGGUCUAAUUUGAAUGAACUAAUGAUAAUGACUAUACUACUCUAUACUAGACUAUACUCAAGGUUUAAAAGUUUGAUAUAAUAAUUAGAACUAUAGGUUGUCAUCUGUUAAGAAACCCUUUAUCGGGUUGUCCAAAAGACCGUUAAGAUCUAUUCACGAGAGGACCUUUACAAAUGGAUAAAUAAAACGGCCAGCUAUUGUCCUUAUUCAGCUUUGUUCCCUUUGUGGAAGAUUAUACAUACAUAUGUCCAUGCCUGUGAACGCAUGAGAGUCUUUGUCCCCUUUCCAUUGGAACGUUCCAGAAGAAUCGGGAUACGACUGCCGUUUUUAUCCUCCAUUCAAACGAAACUUUGAGCUCUUAGUUGUUUUGUAUAACGUGUUCCUUGGCAUCACGAUAUGACUAUGUUUACUAAACAUUUUCCUUAUUUUAACUCAUGGCGUGAGGCGCAUUUACACGUGUAAUAAAUAGGCUAGAAUGCUCAUCAUAGUUAAGUAUAAAAUCUCUUCCAGCAAAAUCAAAUAGCGAUGCAUAAUUCAAAUCGUCUCACAGUCACGGCAUCUACGCUUUGAAGCGUCUUAGAAAUUACCAGCAGGGAACAGCAAUAGCGAAGUUGAUAGCAUUAUUCUAUUUAGUUCAUAAAGUUUCUAUGAACAAUUGUAAAAUAUAAAAAAUGAUUUCCUAUCUCUGUAUUAUUUUGCAGAUUAUUACUGAGGUCUGUGGCAUCAGAUACAGUCUAGUUAAGCUACCAAUUGAAAUCUCUUACCAGUUUCAAUUAAGGAUUCAUUCUUUUUUUCUUAAAGCGCUAUGAAAGCUACAAAACUACUUUUGUCUCUGCUGUCGUGUGGAUGAUAUAAUUAGGUCGCAGCAUCGAACAUUUGAUAUAAGAGAGGAGAGAUCCUGUCAUAAUAUUGUUAGCAAACUCGGUGUGAAGGUGACGGUAUGUUUGCGCUCGCCCACGCCAGCAUCUACUCUGCCAUGGUAUAUCACGUGACUGAUUUCCACUAGGUGUUACGUCGUAGAUACACUAGAUGUCCGUCCGGCUAUACCUGAAGUUACUGACGUGAUGUGGUAGUAUACAUCAGAUUAAAAAAAAAUGUAAUCCAUAAUAACCACGCAGAGAACACUAUUUUGAAAUAAUUAAGGAUCCAAAGUAACCCAAUGUUUCAUGGGGUGCGAUCGACUUGUCGCUGUAGGGUGCAUUACGAGUGACGUAAAAGAAAUGGGUCAUGGGCAUGUGAAUAGGAUUUGGUUAUGCCUCAGCUAACCUGUGAUCAGGAAAAAUAAUGAACGGCGACCGUUGGUCGUUAUGGUAACCAUCGUGUUGAGAUUUCAUCUGGUAGGCAUCCGAGUACACGAGAAUAGGAACCCCACUGACCUUGAAGCGGACAAAUUGUCGGAAACAUCAAGUUCGUACAACAAAAACAAAUUACGUCAACGUCCAUAAAGAUUCAUAAAAAUUCAUCAUAUUUCUUCAACUGGAUGAACGGGAAACGUCCAGCACGUCGCUUCGGUUUCUUCUCUUUGAAUCAAGAAAUCCGUGUCCUUCGUGCUGUGGAAGGAAAGAAAAAAGAUCCAUUACCAUUAUCUCGAUGCCGAUGAAAAUUAUAAAGAAGCUGUAUCUUUUCUAUUGGGUUCUUACUCAUGAUUCUUGAACGACGAUGUAGGCUAACCAUUACGAAAUUCCAAUGAAGAUAACUGCCAGCAUUUCAUGGAGAAUUUAACAUGUGGCUUAUAUUCUGCAAUAAAAUCUUCCAGUCAUCCUAUGCAUCCGGUGGAUUAAAACGUAAGAAAACUCAUCGUCCACGUACAUGAGCGUUUCUGAAAAAUGUAUAAAGUAAAAAAAUUAUCUGUCAACAUCUACCGUUGCGUAACGUGACUCCAUGUGCUACGAGGAUUACAAGUUUCAAAGCAUUCUAUUUUAUACAGCAUUUAUGUUACAUGUCCACUUAUGGCUUUAGUAGAAGAAUUUGUUACAUAUGUACUCCGUAGGACUUAAUUUAGCAAUUAGGCCGUUAUAUCGUGCAUCAUGCGAAUGCAAUGUGCGGUAGGGUGUAUAACGUUAUGAUAUUACCACACGUUUAGCAUCGAUAAUAUUCAUCGACCAUUAAGCAUAAACCAUAAGCAAUAAAUAUUCAUGACAGUAUACGAUGUGUUAUAAUGAAUCUUAUAAAUUUAUACUCAAACUAAUUAAGUGACAGUGAUGUAAUACAAUAAUUAUUCUAUGUAUAUCAUACAUCGCCCGACUAAAGGCAAAAUUGCGAAUAGACGUGGGAUUUUUAGGUACCAUAAGCGUUUUUGCAUUUGUCACGCGAUAUCUUGCCAAAGUUAAAAAUAUACGUGGUACAUUUCAGCAGUCGAGUCGCGCAAACUUUAAAAUUAUUUCUAAAAAGUGUAUUAUUGCUUAGAAACCAUGAGUAAAAGAUGUUACGUAUCAAAUUGUCACGCAUUACGCAUAUGAAUUGUAAUAUAAUGUCUAUUUAAGAAUCGCACAACAAGUACGAGGCAUUGACGAAUAUAAAUGCUACAAGCCUCUCAAUGUACGUUUAGCUCAGACUUGCCAGCAAUAUUAGUUUACAGUUUAUAUAGUAGUAAUGAAGAUGUACCAGAUGUAUGGUAGUACCAGUAUAGUCUUAGAUACUUGAAUAAGAUUGUUGUUCAGACAAAUAGCAUUAGUUAUUCUUGUAUUAACUGAGGCUUUAUUCGUGGAGGCCAUUUCGUCCAAUGCGGAGGUCGUUACUGCAGGAAGUCCUCGUGUGAUACAUGGAUAGAAUAAUUUUCUGUAUAGAGAAGGAUAAAUAAAAUGAUUAAAGGUUU